UACGAAGGGGGCUAGCGUUGCUCGGAAUUACUGGGCGUAAAGGGAGCGUAGGCGGACAGUUUAGUCAGAGGUGAAAGCCCAGGGCUCAACCUUGGAAUUGCCUUUGAUACUGGCUGUCUUGAGUACGGGAGAGGUGUGUGGAACUCCGAGUGUAGAGGUGAAAUUCGUAGAUAUUCGGAAGAACACCAGUGGCGAAGGCGACACACUGGCACGUUACUGACGCUGAGGCUCGAAAGCGUGGGGAGCAAACAGG
rnacentral:rRNA from 1 species